CAAUAUUGAUAUGCUUUUUUUAACUAAUAGUUUCUACCUCAUGUCCCUUUUUUGUUCCAAGAACCCAUCCAAGAUACUACAUUACAUUUAGAUGUCUCCUUGGGAUCCUCUAGAUUGACAGUUUAUCAAACUUUGCUUGCUUUUGAUAACCUUGACAAUUCUGAUAUGGCAAGAUAUCUUGUGUAAUGCCCCUCAAUAUCAGUUUGUCUGAUUUUUUUUCUUCUUCUCAUUCUUAGACUGUGGUUAUGGAAUUAGAAAGACCAAAGAUAUAAAGUGUUUUUCUCGUCACAUCAUAUCAAGGGUAACUGCCACCAAUAUAAAGUGUCACUGAUGAUGAAUGCCACCACCUGACUGAAGUGGUGGUGAUUAUCACAUUUCUCCUCUACAAAGACCUCCCAGCCCCUAAGGGUCACUAUGGUCAGCCCAUACUCUAGGUAUGGGGAGUUACACUCCAGGCUCCUCUAGGGGGCAGUAUCUACAGAAAUCAUUUAGAAUUUGUAUGGGAAAUUUUCUAUCUUCUCCAUUUAUUUUAUUCAGUUUUUUAUAUCAGCAAGGACUCACGGGUUACAUAUUUUAUCCUUUGGUUUAUAUCUCAAAUUUAAUCCAGUAUUUAUUUAUUUUUAUUGUUCAGAUCAGUUGUUCCAGCUUUGACCACUGGGAGCUCUUUCAGUUGGCUCCUGUUGCCCUCUUUAUGCAUCCCAUCAUUACUUUGUUUUUCUGUGUGUGUAUUUUUUUCCACUUUAUUUUCUGGCAUUGCAAGGUGUAUAUUUUCUGCUGUGGCUCUAAAAGCAGACAUUUUUCCAAGGUGCCCUGAUUCCUUUUAUUGAAAGAUGGUAUUAAAAAUCCAGAUCUGGGCAAUGAGCAUGUACAUUGCUACUACAAUCUUUUGUUUCUCCAUCCUCUCAGUGGAGAGAUUUAAAAAAUAAACCAUGUACCCACAUAGCCACCAGUUAUUUCUUUAUUUAUCUACAUCUAUACUGACAGCCUCCCCCCCGCCUUUUUUUAAUACCAGGGGUUGAACUCGGGGGUGCUUAACCACAGAGCUACAUCCCCACCCCUUUUUAUUUUUUAUUUUGAGACAGAGUCUCCCUAAAUUGCUUAAGGCCUUGCUAAGUUGCUGACGCUGGCUUUGAACUUGUGGUCCUCCUGCUUCAGCUUCCCAAGUUACUGGGAUUAUUGGUGUGCGCCACCAUGCU
rnacentral:lncRNA from 1 species